ACGCUGAAGUAUAUUCUCUGUAAUUAAUAAACUGCUUAAUUACAGGGUCUCGAAAUUAUACCUGAAAGAGUAGUAGUGGAAUAUUAUAAUAAGAAAUAUAUUAGUACUAUAACUAUUAGUAUAAGGAAAACAAGUCGUCGAGGCCCUUAUAAUUUCAAUUUAGAAUAUGAGUCAGACUAUGUGUUUGGAGACAAUUUUACGAUGGUAUUAUCAUUAUGGGAAAUUAGUAGCGGUCGACUUCUUCAAACACCUGUACUAAUGAAUAUAACAAUGUGUAAUUUUUUACUAAAUGAACCAUUCGUUGGUAAAAUGCUAUACAGACAAUUUCCAAAAGAUGUGUCAUGUCCAAUACGAUCAGGUAAAAUAAGUAUAAAAAAUAUUGAGGUUCAUUUAGAAAAUUUUCCGUAUUACUUACCAUUCACCUGGGCGUCGUUGGAUGUGCGAGCACGCGCUAUAGGCGAACUAUAUUUGACAGCCGAUAAUAUAAAAAUAGUUCGACUCUUUGGGGACAUCAAACUGAAACAACAGCUAAAAGGUUAAAUAUAUAAAGUUAGAAACGAUUUGUUUUAUAUAAUGAGGUGAUAUGAUUACAGAUUUAGAUGAUAAGCUCUCCCUAAAAGAAUUUAUCAUGUGACACUCGCGACACCACGUCCUUAUCCCCAAAUUUUCCUGUCCAAUCUACAUGCUACAACGGAAACACAGAAAUAAAGCAAGCUGCUUAGCGACUGAAUGAGUGAGACUGAGGUAUCCACGCAGACGUCUUUUUACAA